UACAUGGGGUGCAAACGUUGCUCGGAAUUAUUGGGCGUAAAGCGCGCGUAGGCGGUUACUUAAGUCGGAUGUGAAAGCCCUCGGCUUAACUGAGGAAGUGCACCCGAAACUGAGUAGCUAGAGUACGAAAGAGGGUCGCGGAAUUCCCGGUGUAGAGGUGAAAUUCGUAGAUAUUGGGAAGAACACCGGUGGCGAAGGCGGCUCACUGGCUCAUUUCUGACGCUCAGGCGCGACAGCGUGGGGAUCAAACAGG
rnacentral:rRNA from 1 species